CUUUGCGUGCUGAUUGGCUGAACCCUGAAGUGACGCGAUGAUUCCGUGGUAGUUAUGUUUUGUCUCCAAGUGCAUCAUUUUUUUUUAUAGGAUCAUCAUUUAAACAAAAACAAAACAUCGAGCGGUCAGGAAAAGUUAUUCCCGAGUUUCAACGCUCGUACUGAGGACUUGUCACAUCCGUCCGAAGACUUAAGACCCGCAGAGACUGAGGAAAGCAACAAAGCUUAACUUCUAUCCACAGUAACAUGGGAAACGUGAGAAAGUCAUCAUGGCAUUUUCUGUCUGUUACCCCAGAGGCUUUCAGAAGCCUCGCAUUUGCCCACUGAGCUGUGCCACGAACUCCCCUCACGUGGCGCGGAAGAUACAUUCACGUGGAAAUUCAGAUCAAUAAACUGCAGGGGGAAAGAAGCGCCCACAGACCAUCACGGACCUGUCUGAAGUGGCUGGAGCUGAUCCAGGGAGGGAGGAAGGAUACAGCCUUGACAGGUCACUGUGUAAAUUCCACAAAGAAUGGACCCAGCUGGCAGCUGGGUUUAAACCCACAGCCCUCUUGCUGUGAGGUGAUACUGCUAACCACUGCACCACCGUUAGCUUCGGUCAAAAUGAAAGCAGUCCAGCAUCCAUUGUUAUCACUAUUGUCUUGAUAUAAGGUCUUGGAAUAUACCUGUAGGCACAAUUUAUCACAAAAAAAAGACAAAAUAGCACAGUGUGCUUAAAAUAAGUUAUCUGAGAUUUCUCAUAAUAAAUGACUAACAUCCUGCCUAUU